CCUGACGUCACCCGAGCCACGGGAUCUUGCUUUGCCCGGACACGCUCUGUGGAGAAGGAGACCCUACGUCCCUGGCCCUCGGGCGGGCUCCGGUCUGUGCGGGUUGGCGUCGCCAGUGUCCCGCGACAACAUGCCUUUGGACCAUGAGACCGCUCAGGGCACAUCUCCCACCAGAGCAGGGACCCCGGGAUGGUCGCCACCACCACCUGCACCCGGUUCAGGGACGAGUACCGGUUCUUUGAGGAGCUCGGAAAAUCUCGUGCCAAGAAAGGGAGGCCAAGUGUUACAGCUCUGAGCUAGACCUGACAGAAAUCAGCACUCGAUCCCGGACGUGCGCGUCAUUUCUGAGAGUCCUCGAUGUCCAGCCCCAUGUGAGGAGGUGGCUUGAGACUCACCUGGGUUUCAGGUCCAUUGGAAACGCCGCGGAAGGAGAGUCCUCUUCUGCCAAAUGGAAAAUGUCAAAAAACCAGCAGGGUUAAAAAAACCUGUACAUUAAACAAUAUUGUGUCUGUUAAAUA